rnacentral:rRNA from 1 species
GAUGAACGCUGGCGGCGUGCCUAAUACAUGCAAGUCGAGCGAACAGACGAGGAGCUUGCUCCUCUGACGUUAGCGGCGGACGGGUGAGUCACACGUGGAUAACCUACCUAUAAGACUGGGAUAACUUCGGGAAACCGGAGCUAAUACCGGAUAAUAUAUUGAACCGCAUGGUUCAAUAGUGAAAGACGGUUUUGCUGUCACUUAUAGAUGGAUCCGCGCCGCAUUAGCUAGUUGGUACGGUAACGGCUUACCAAGGCAGCGAUGCGUAGCCGACCUGAGAGGGUGAUCGGCCACACUGGAACUGAGACACGGUCCAGACUCCUACGGGAGGCAGCAGUAGGGAAUCUUCCGCAAUGGGCGAAAGCCUGACGGAGCAACGCCGCGUGAGUGAUGAAGGUCUUCGGAUCGUAAAACUCUGUUAUUAGGGAAGAACAAAUGUGUAAGUAACUAUGCACGUCUUGACGGUACCUAAUCAGAAAGCCACGGCUAACUACGUG